AUGCUCCACCAGCUGAGCCAGCCGGGCGCCCCAAUAGCACGUUGUGAAAAAACAGUAGAUCACUGGGACAGAGCCAGGAGUGCUCCUUUCCAAGAACGAACCAGGUUUGAUAAGAAAGACCACAUGUUUUUCUGAAGAUAGUUAGGAAAAGCCGUUUUAGGCCAAGCUCCAGCCCUUGUCACUGUUGAGGAAUGUUCUUGCUCCUCCUAUCUCCCUCAGACGGCCAUGCCCUGACCGCUCGCCCCCUGGACAUCCGAUGAGCACACUCCUCAAAGCCGUGCUCCUAGUGCUGGGGUUCCGGGGGACCAGGACUCACCGGGCUGGGAACCACUUCUGGAGCUACAGCAGGGCUCUGAGAGCUCACAAGGUCUCCUGCAUCCCUUUUUCUCCACUUCCCUCCUUUAUUCGACAUCUGCCUCGUGCCUCAGUUUCCCUCAUUGGGCCUAAAGACCUGCCCCCGAGCGGAGGUUUAAUUACCCUGUCUUGCUGUUUGCCAGCUCCGUGCUUUUCUUCCCACCCUCCCACUGGCUGGGACUCUGCUGGAGUGAGUCACGUGCUCAAGAGCCAGGAUUCUUCCAGGACUUUGGUCCACCAUCUAGACAGUUAUUCCCUGCUUACUCUGCCCCCUGAAGAUACUGAUAAUUGCCUGAACCUGAUCCCAGCUUGCCUUCUCCACUGAACCCACCUGAUGAGCUUUUCCAGAACCAGCCUUGCCAAGUCAGUCCCACUGCCUCCCUCUGCCUACCAGCUGACCCUGCUGAAAUGUCGAUGAUCGCAGGAAUGAAUGAGAGUUAAGAGCUUAGUCUAUCUUAAACUGUCCCAGGUGCCUCACGUACUUAACAUUUAUUUACUAAUGACACACCACUUGGAAAACCGGGCGCUGGGAGAGGUUAAGUGAUUAACGCAAGGUCACCCAUACAGUAAAUAGCACAGCUAGAAUUGGAACCUCGAGCCUUCCUGAUGCCACGUGUAUUUCUGUUCCCAAUCCUAACGUGUAGGCUUUUUCUGCACACCAAGCAAUUGUCAGACACCAGCUGGAUGUCCCACAGUCCAACUCAAUUCCGACACGAUCUACCUGGAAAAACCUAUCCCACAGGUUAAGGGCUCAGUCGUACAACAAUGCUCUCCCUGCCCCUCCUCCUGCCACCUUCAGGUGACGACUGCAAGCAAGUACAGGUUGUCCCUUGUGCUUCUGACCAACUAACCAUCUAUAGAUUGGAGGUUCCAACUACCCCUUCCUUGUGUUCCAUUAAUUUGCUAGAGCGGCUCACACAACUCAAACAAGUAUUUUACUUACCAGAUCGUUGGCUUAUUACGUAACUCAGGAACAGUGGGAUUGAAGAGAUGCAUAGGGCAAGGUAGAGAGAAAGGAUGCAGGUUCCCAUGUCCUCUCUGAGCGCAUCACUCCCCUCACAACCCCACCUGCUUAGCCGGAAGCUCUCUGAACCCCGUCCUUUUGGGUUUUUACAGAGGCUUCUUUACUUAAGCCUGAUUGAUUACAUCAUUGGCCACUGGUGAUUGACCUCAACCUCCAGCCCCUCUCCCCACCCCUUAGCUCAAGGGGGUGGGACUGAAAGUUCCAACCCUCUAAUCUCUUGAUUGGUUCUGGCAACCAAACCCCAUCCUUAGGUAGGGAUCCAAAAGUCACCCAGUUA